AAGUGCCCACAAAGGUUGGAAUCUUAGAUCGAGAACUUUUAAAAAGAGACCAGGUGCGGAAGGGGUCUGGUCUUGAGGGUUCAAAUGAGAUAAUCUAUUUCUCUCAAACAACUAUGAAAUCAAGGUGCGAAGCAAGGGCAAAGAAUUUGCGAAGGAGCGAUGAAACCAAAAAAUCAUCCAUCCUAUGAAAAGAAGGGUAUGCACAGAUGGGACAUAUCCCACCUAGAUUCAAAGCUUGGUAAAUGAAAGAAAUGAAAGAAGGUCGAAGAUUGACGACAGCGGGCUCUGCAGCAACCGAGACUGAAUUCCCCUAAAAAACAGUUCUCUUUUGCUACAGCCGCAGCGAAACCUGAAAAAACUUCUACGACAGCCAAUCCACGGACUCUUUUGCUUGAAGUUUCAGUGGUUUUCUUUCUCUGAAGGAUCCACGUGGAACCAAAGAAGCUGAUCGCUAGAAGAGGAGAAAGAGGAGACCGACCGUAGGGUUGAGGCAUCCAUGCGCGGAAGUGGAAGUUCUGAGCUUGGUAAGCUCUAAAAUGAGCUAUGAGGCCUAACCUACUAUUUGGGAAGAAUUGCAUUUUGAUGCCUCUGCAUAUCCAUUUUGCACCCAAAUUUCAACCUCAAUGAAAAAAAUAGGAGUUCUAAUUAAGCUACUCUGGAUGUCUCUUUUCUUAACCCAUUAUCUUAAUAUGGGAUUUUGACUUUUAGGUCUUCUCUUGGCUCCUUCUUCUUAUUUUAUUAGAAGUUUGAACCCCUCCAUUAGGAGUAUUAAGACCGCUCUGAAGGAGUCAUGAAAUUCCACUCAAAUAACCCGAUUGAAUCAAUGAGCAAGGUCUCAAUUGAAAGGAGAGAAAAGAAACAUUAGAUUUUCUAUUAUGCGAAGAAUGAGAAUUCAAAGUCUCCCUUUUCUUUAUCUUGAUCUUAUGAUCUCAACUUCUAGAAAUUUGCCCGCCUUUCGCUUCGCUUGGCAUAGUCAUACUGAUAAUAGGAUUUUCUCAUCAUAAAAAAAAAAAAGAUCUUGCCUUUCUUUUUGCUUGCACUCAAAAAACUAGUAUUAGAAUAAGAUAGUCGACCUUGGAAUAGGGGUUGAUUUUGCAGUUAUAAGGAAUAAGAAGGGCAUAGUAAUUUAAAUCUUUUUGAAAAUCAUAUCAAUUUCGGUGAUUCAUUCUCAUCCUUCUUUUAUCUCUUUUCAUUUGAUUAAGAUAUUGAAUUUGACAAAUACCGCUAUGUGGGCGUGCAAUAAGCCCACUCCGCAGGCUCAGAUUAAGGGAAGAGAGAAGUAGUAGGGUAGACCUCAUUAAGGAUAUGGAGGAAUGAAUGUGUGAAUCAAGCUAAGCACCUUAACGAGGGUUUGGUACAUCUUUAGUCUUGAUUCUAUCCCUCUGGAGGAAGGAGCGCUCAAAGAAAGGUAUGAGGGUGUCGAGUAAAAGCUCCUCCCAGAAAGUCCGCGAAUUCCUUAUUCUUAGGAGUGCAUUAUGAAAUAACUCGACUCAAGAAAGAUAGUCGAGGGGCAAAGCGAAUUCCUUAUCAAAGAAUUUGAGAAAUCCAUAUUCAAAUUAAUUUCAUCCUCUUGACUCGUUCAUUGCAUAUUACUAGAUUCCAUAUGAACUCAGAUUUCAGAGUCCGGUCAGUCCUCCGAACAUUCCUUGCAAUCAAAACCUUGUCGUGGAAGUCACCAUUGGGUUGAGAUCUAGCGCAAUAGUGAACGAGAAAGGGAAGAAGAGAAAGAGAUAGUUCUUGUCUCGUUGGAUUCCCCAACAGUGACUCAUUCAAUCACCUCCUAACCCGCUUGAGUGGUCUUCCUUUCUUCACCGGGCUUGGACCUUUAGCUUUCACGAUUGAAAUCCUCUAUUUGAUGUUAAAUCCCCUUCUUCAAAUCCUACGUGGGCUUAUGGUCUCGCUUCUUCUCUCAACUGAAAGAACGUAGUUGCCUUCCUUCUAUCCUAUUCUUUUUUAUCUCUCACGUAGGAAAUUCAUAAAAAUUAAAUACGAAAUAAUGAAAUAUGAUUGAUGAAAGAAGUUUAUCUCUCACGUAGAUGCCCGUGAUAAGUUCCAGUAUAUAUAAAAGGGGAUAAAUUUUAUUUCUCCA